rnacentral:lncRNA from 10 species
GGCCGUCAAUGGGACCGGGCGCCAGGGAGCAGGGGGCGGCGCUCAUUGGGGAGGCUCAGACAGCCCAGGAGCCCACAGGGGUGGGGAGGCUCAGGCAUGGCUGGCUGCAGGUCCUGAGCCCCACCCCGCGGGGGUGCAGCUGAGGCCCGGCGAGAAUUCCAGCGCAGCGCAGCGCUGGCGGGCCGGCACUGCUGGGGGACCCGGCUCACCCUCCGCAGCUGCUGGCCCAGGUGCUAAGCCCUUCACUGCCUGGGGCUGGCGGCGCCGGCCGCUCAGAGUGUGGGCCGCGGAGCCCACGCCUACCCGGAACUCACGCUCGCCCUGGAGAGCGGGUGUGCAGCCCCAGUUCCCGCCCGCGCCUCUCCCUCCACACCUCUCUGCAAGCAGAGGGAGACGGCUCCAGCCUCAGCCAGCCCAGAGACGGGGUCCCACAGUGCAGCGGCAGGCUGAAGGGCUCCUCAAGCGUGGCCCGAGGAGACGCCAAGGCCCAGGAAGCGCUGAGAGCGAGAGACGGCCGCCAGCACGUUGUCACCUCUCACAGUGACCUUGGCAGAUGCGUGGAUGCUGACGAAAAUUGUACAAGAGAAUUUAUGAACAAAAACAAAAGAGACAAAUGGCGAAAAAUAUUUGAAGUACUUUUUCUUGGGCUGGCUCUUCUCCAAAUGACAACUGAUAAUUAGGAAGAUCGCCCACAGAGACAGCAACAGUGAGUCUCCUCUCACAUCUGGUUCAGCUACAGCUCCAGUCCCUCUCCAUAAAGCUGCCCUCUGGAGUCUGGUAACUGCUUUGUCUCCUUCCCCGCUCAGACCUGGAUGGUAGUGGCUCCCAAGUGUCAUCAUCUAUAUUAAUUAUCAAUUGCAGCAUAACCAAUUAACAUGAAUUUAGUGGCUUAAACCAACACACAUUAAUUAUCUCAAAGUUUCUAUGGGUCAGGAAUCAGGCAUGGUUUAGCUGUAUCCUCUGACUCUGGGUGUCCCAGCAGAAGCAAUCAAGGUAUUGGCCAGGGCUGGUGCUCAUCUGAAAGCUCCACUAAGGAAGGAUUUAGUUCAAAUUCAUUGUUGCUGUAUUUAUUUCCUUUUGGAUUGUAGGACUGAGGGGCUCAGUUCCUUUCUGGCUAUUGACCAGAGGGUAUCCUCAAUCCCUUGCCGUGUAGUACUCUCCAGCAUGGCAACUUGCUGCCUCAAAGCCAGCGAGGGCAAGUGUCUGCUAGCAAGACAUAAGUCAGAGUCUUUUGUAAUUUAAUCUUAGAAGUGGCGUACCCUCAAAGUUGAGAUAUUCUGUUGGUUGUAUACAACUUAAUCAAGGGGAGGAGAUUACAUGAGGCAGUGAAUAGCACAAGAUCAGGAUCAUUGGGGUCAUCUUGAAAGCUGCCUACCAUCCCGUGUCUUGUUAGAGAACUUAAAUUCUGCCCACACCUUAGUAAAUAGCCCCCUAUUUAAGUGUGCCAUCAAAUAGGGGGCUAUUUACUAAGCCCCCUAUUUGAGGAUGAUAAAUUCAAUUUAAUCAGUCUUCUUUCUAUUCACUCUGAUGAAUUACUGUUCACUCUGAAUAAUGUGCUGGUUUCCAAGAUUCACCAAAACUAAAGAAAGCUAUCAGUACUGAACAUUCUCAGCAUAUUCAGUCAUCCAGGCCAACAUGGUCUAUAAAUGUAACAAUUUGCCUAAGUCAUGAAAUAAAACAUUUUUUUCUAAAAUAAUUUACAUUUAUACCUGAUUAGAUCAAAUGAGAAUUAGUUCAUGAGAAAUUGUGUAGGAUAUCAAGGGUCUUGUGAUGGUUAAUAUUGAGUGUAGACUUGAUUGGAUUGAAGGAUGCAAACUAUUUUUGGGGGGUAUGUCUAUAAGGGUGUUGCCAAAGGAGAUUAACAUUUGAGUCACUGGAUUGGGAGAGGCAGACCCACCCUCAGUCUAGGUGGGCACCGUCUAAUCAACUGCUGGCAUAAAAUCAGGCAAGGAAAGAACAGACUUGGCUGAGUCUUCUGGCCUCCAUCUUUCUCCUGUGCUGGAUGCUUCCUGCCCUCGAACAUCAGACUCCAAGUUCUUCAGCUUUUGGACUCUUGGACUCACAUCAGCGAUUUGCCAGUGGUUCUUGCACCUUUGGCCACAGAUGGAAGGCUGUACUAUCAGCUUCCCUACUUUUGGGGUUUUGGGACUUGGACUGGCUUCCUUGCUGCUCAGCAUGCAGACGGCCUAUUGUGGGACUUCACCUUGUGAUCUUGUGAGUCAAUACUCCUUAAUAAACUUCCCUUCACAUAUUCAUCUAUCCAAUUAGUUAUUUCCCCUUAGAAAACCCAGACUAAUACAGGCCUAUACAAUUGUGUGGUAGAUUUAGCAAUAGUAUGACUAGAACAAGUGAAAAUGCUGUAAUCAAGAAAACUAUUAAACAUUA